UACAGAGGUCUCAAGCGUUGUUCGGAUUCAUUGGGCGUAAAGGGUGCGUAGGCGGCGCGGUAAGUCGGGUGUGAAAUCUCGGAGCUUAACUCCGAAACUGCAUUCGAUACUGCCGUGCUUGAGGACUGGAGAGGAGACUGGAAUUUACGGUGUAGCGGUGAAAUGCGUAGAUAUCGGAAGGAACACCAGUGGCGAAGGCGGCUUACUGGACACGUAUUGACGCUGAGGUACGAAAGCGUGGGGAGCAAACAGG
rnacentral:rRNA from 1 species